AGGCUUUGGAGAGCGGACUCGGCGGAGCGGAAGUCGCUGAGGUGGACGGAGGUGGCGGCAGCGAGCGACGAUGAACAACAAAUUCGACGCAUUGAAAGAUGAUGAUAGCGGAGACCAUGACCAAAAUGAGGAGAAUAACACACAGAAAGACAGUGAGAAGGAAAAGAAUGAUCGAGAGAAACCACAGAGUACUACCAAGAGGAAGGCUGUUGUCCCAGGGCCAGCUGAGCACCCCUUGCAGUAUAAUUACACCUUCUGGUACUCCAGACGAACACCCGGGAGGCCUACCAGCUCGCAGAGUUAUGAACAGAACAUCAAACAGAUUGGCACCUUUGCCUCUGUGGAGCAGUUCUGGCGGUUUUACAGUCACAUGGUACGUCCUGGGGACCUGACAGGCCAUAGUGACUUCCAUCUUUUCAAAGAGGGGAUCAAACCCAUGUGGGAGGAUGAUGCCAACAAAAAUGGUGGUAAAUGGAUUAUCCGUCUGCGAAAGGGCUUAGCGUCACGAUGCUGGGAGAAUCUCAUUCUGGCAAUGUUGGGAGAACAGUUUAUGGUGGGGGAAGAAAUCUGUGGGGCAGUCGUCUCUGUCCGAUUCCAGGAGGAUAUUAUCUCGAUAUGGAACAAGACAGCCAGCGACCAGGCCACAACAGCCCGGAUACGUGAUACAUUACGAAGAGUCCUCAACCUACCUCCCAACACCAUCAUGGAAUAUAAAACACACACCGAUAGCAUCAAGAGGUCGGUGCAGAUGUGUUCAUUUCAAAGUCAUGAUGCCUUCCCUAUUUGCCUUUGCUACAGAUACUGCCAGAUACGUGAAAAAAUUAUUUCAAACUGAAAGAAUAUCCUAGAUUUUUUAAAGCUGUUAGUUUUCAGGCCUGUCAUGAAGUUCUUGACUGGCUUUGAACAAAUCCCAAACACUCUCAUAGAACAUGGGGAGCAGCCAGAAAGAGGCUGUGCUGCUCUAGACACAAUACCUGCAGAGUGUAGUGAGUGGUCAGUGUGCUGGGAGAUUGCACGCAGGCUGGCAGAAGGGACAGACCUUGGGGACUGUUGUGACGAUAGUAUGCACUAUGGGCUGUCUCCUUUUUUAGCUGGGGAAGGAGAUGGUAAGGAGGCAGGGCUGCACGGGGAAAUACUGAAGGGGAACUGCUAGGACUUAAAAGAUUGAGGGUGGUUAGAGGAAACAGCUAGUGCUGCUUGCACAAUGGUCAUUUGGAAAGUCCCUUGAGGCAGCUGUGGUGGCUCUUCCUCUUUUUGCUGGAGUCUCCGACAGUAGCUCCUAUUUGCAUUUUUUUUCCCCCAACUUAUUUGAUGGGGGUAAAGGGAGCCCUGCCUGGGUCCUGACCCUGGACAGUGGGGGAGAAGAUGGGAAGUUUCAACAGUUGUGGGUCAAGAAUGAGUGUGGAAGAACAGCUCUGGCUGGCUUUAUUUUGCCUGCUAAUGUUUCCAUUUCCCAUCUGUUCAAUGGGAAUAACCUAAGUGUUGGGAAUCAAUUCAGUGAGUAUCUGAUCGCUGCGCAGACAGUAUAGCAAUAAGGUACUAAAAAUGUCUAUACAUAAAAAUAACCUCUUAGACUCUCUGGCACUGUGCCUUUGGCACGUCACAGAUCGUAAAGAUUCUGCCAGACAAAAUUAACUGGCAGCCUUGUUCGGUACAAAAUGGAGAGCAGUUUGCUCCGCUAGCAUAGUUUAGGUACAUUAGGGCAGACACAUCCUGGUGGAUUUUUUCAGUCAAGUCAGCAGAUAGUUGGAGUCAUUAGUACUAUAAUAUAUAUGAGGGUCUUGGCUUAAAAAUUCUUGGCUGGAGGAGCUUUUUCUCUCUGUCUGAGGAGGACUUGGCAGCUGAAGGACUAUGUGCAUGAUGUUAUUGGGAUGUUGGAACAGGGAACUCCUUGGUUUGAAAGGGGUAAUAAAUUAUCGAUUAUGUUGACAAAUAAUCUGCCCUUGUAUCCCUUCUGUAGAGAACAAAAGUUACAAGUUUGGGGAGAACUGUGGGAGAGGAAGGAGAGAAGAUGUGGUUAUGGGUGAUGGAAACGUGGUAGCAAUAUAAGGCGUGGGAGGUUGGACGGAAGACAUGAAGGUAGAGACUUUUUGACAAGGCUGGAGAUGUGCAUAGCUUUCCAAUCUGUAUUCAGCAGCUAAGAGGGCUUCAAAUCCAGAGUUUCUCUUCCCCCUAACUUUCUUCUGGAGGGAGGCAGUUGUACCCACAGUGUCUAGUACCAUGUGCUGACUGGGUGACACGGGCAGUUUUCCUUUUUCUGGAAGACUUCUUGGCCUUGUGGCCUUGAAGGGUGCUGUGUCUGGGGAGACUUGGGGGAAAAGUUCCCAUUUAGGGGCUUCUGUGCUGCUGCCUUGCUUAGAAUGAGCCACCUGUGGGUUUCUUUCCUCUAGGCAGCAUACUGCUGUACUUCAGGCUGAAUUGCAGAUCUGACCUGGUGUAGUAAUGCACCACAGCUGUGUCCUGUGUGCUGUCCUGUUGCAUCUGCAGCACCCUUUUCUGACUUUCUCCCUCACAUUUCCUUUGCCUUCAGGGACUCAUGUCUAAGGGUCAGCUAGACAUACCAUGUAGCUUUGGGACUCCCAUGGAGGACUGUUACUCCCUUGUCCAUCCUAGUCAAGAUCAGGAGGAUUUUGAGCUACCAUGGAUGGAGGGAGACUGAGGAGAAAACCUAGCCAGCCAUAGAUAAGGACUCUCUUAGACCAGCUCAUCACCUUGGUAGUUCACAGGAGCCUGCGCCUUGGGAUCCUAUGGAGGUUUAGUUGCUUCUUGGAAGUUUUGUCAAAGCAGUUUUGAGCUGGGAAGAACUGGAGUGUUUUGCCACUCACCAGGCCUGUACUGGUGAUGCUGAAGUCAGUGAUCUUUAGGAUUUCACCUUCAGCGCUUUCAAAAGAGGGAUUUGCUGUCCUUUGGUCUGGGAAGGCAGUGUCACAAGUUCCAAGUUGUACACCACAGUGACAAGCUUCUUGCUUGUGCCCUCUUUGUUGGGUUCCCACCAAGAUUGCCUGUAUGUGGUGUACAGUCUUGCAGAGUGCAUGUGAUGGGCACUCUGCCAGUAUACUCUGUGUUUGUUUGGGCUAUGACUCUGCUGGGAAAGAGCGUAUGACACCUGAGCUGCUUUUGCAAAUGCUGAUUGGGAGCUUGACUCUGUGAGGCUCAGGUAAGAGCCAGGCUGGUAGUCUGGUUUUGGCACAGAUGCUGACUAAUACAGGCAAUGCAGAAAACAAGAUGUGAGGUAGCUGCUAAGUACCAGCAACAAAAUCUGCAGUGUGGUCUGGUUUUAUGACUGACCUGGGUUCCCUUUAAGGUCCCUCCAGCUCCAUGGGACUCUCUGGGUUCAGUAAAUGGCUUGAGCAUGUGCUGUAGGCACCAGCACUGUUUUGCUGGGCAUGGACAACUAUGAGAUUCUUUGAUGUCUCUGAUCCCAGAAGAUAAUAGUCAUGCUCACAUUAACCUCGGCAUCUUUUCCCUGAGAGGGCUUUCAGUAUGCUGCCUUCGUAAAACAGACAGCAAUUUUUCAGUCUGCUAGCUUCGUCCGUCAGUAACAUUCUCCACCAGGGAAUGCAGCGUUAGGCCUGUCCUUCUAACUUAUCUGAAAACAUUUUCAUUUCAAAUAGCUGUAAUGUUUUUACUGGGUUGUCAUUAACAAUGCAGGUUUACAAUAGGAAAUGAGACUUUCUAAUAACAAUUGGAUUCUGCUGCCUGAUUGAAGAAUUUGGUAAUAACUAAGCUGUGUGGCAUUAAAAGAAGCCCCUUUUGGGGGGAUUACUACAUAGACAGGUAUGUGGUGAAGCAUGAGGCCAGUAACUGGCUGAGUUUAACCAGCCAAGGAACGUGAUAAUCCUCCAGAAAGACGUAACAUCGGCUAUUUUAUUAGCAAUAGGAAAUGGAUAUUCCAUUUGUGACUGGGAAGGUCAUACCUGUCUCUGGGUAUUAAUGUAGCUAUAUCACCAGCAGCCAGUGGGAACGCUUCAUGUCUGUGCAGAACGUUAAAGCUGCCUCGCGCUGUCAGAUGUUUGGCUGGGUUUUAAGGAUGCUUCUAUCCACUAGGGCUAUCAGAGAAUAUUGCCUUGCUCUCUGAAGACAAGUGCCUUUCAAACGCCAUUGAAUGUUUCUGCUCUCGUUAAAAGUUAAGAAGCCUUUGAUCUGAAGUGCUGUUUUUUUGUUUUUUGUUUCAUUUUUUUUUUUCCCUCUGGCUUGCCAGGGCCUGGGAGGAGUUUCAUGGCCUGGUGAACAGCAGUGGCCGCUGAUCGAACGCUCCCCCUCCCUCUGUCACACCCAGGGGAUAAUUCAAGCUUUCGAAACACAAAAAUCACAUUGUGAGAACAAGAGUUGGCACUAAGCUCCUCUCUCCGUGUUGAAAGCACUGAGAGGUCUCCACCAGUGCCCUCCGACCUCUGAAAGGACUCAUGGGCCACUCUCUUGCACUCCUCCUUGGAGGAAGGAUCCAUCUGAAGCCCUCCAGCAGCGGUGACAAUAGAGGCUGAUUUUUGUCAUACACAAACUUUUUUUUAGCAGUGGGGCGGGAGGCCAACCUUUCAAUUAGCAGCGUGCCCUUGGGGCCGCAUCUUGCAGCACUUUCCUCUCUUUCUCUGCAUGGCAUGCAGGAUCUCUGGGAUUCUGCCUCAAUGUCAGAGCCUUUUGCUGAGGGAUACCAGUAUUAUAAAUCUCUCUGCACCUGGGAGGAGCUUCCCAGUUGAGAGUCAGCCCUAUGGUUUUCAAAUGCCCCCUUUCAGCUCUGCCAAUAAAU